rnacentral:rRNA from 1 species
GACGAACGCUGGCGCCGUGCUUAACACAUGCAGGUCGAACGGAAAGGCCCUGCUUUUGUGGGGUGCUUGAGUGGCGAACGGGUGAGUAACACGUGAGUAACCUUCCCUUCACUUUGGGAUUACUUCAGGAAACUGGUGCUAAUACCGGAUAGGAGCUCCUGCUGCAUGGUGGGGGGUGGAAAGUUUCGGCGGUUGGGGCUGGACUCGCGGCUUAUCCGCUUGUUGGUGGGGUAGUGGCUUACCAAGGCUUUGACGGGUAGCCGGCCUGGGAGGGUGACCGGAAACAGUGGGACUGAACUCCGGCCGGGACUCCUCCGGGAGGCAGCCGUGGGGAAUACUGAACCAGGGGCGGCAGCCUGAUGCAGCAACGCCGCGUGCGGGAUGACGGCCUUCGCGUUGUAGGCCGCCUUCGCCUGUGACGAAGAGUGAGCGACGGUAAUGGGUAAAGAAGCACCGGCUAACUACGUG